rnacentral:rRNA from 1 species
GACGAACGCUGGCGGCGUGCCUAAUACAUGCAAGUCGAACGCUUUUUCUUUCACCGGAGCUUGCUCCACCGAAAGAAAAAGAGUGGCGAACGGGUGAGUAACACGUGGGUAACCUGCCCAUCAGAAGGGGAUAACACUUGGAAACAGGUGCUAAUACCGUAUAACACUAUUUUCCGCAUGGAAGAAAGUUGAAAGGCGCUUUUGCGUCACUGAUGGAUGGACCCGCGGUGCAUUAGCUAGUUGGUGAGGUAACGGCUCACCAAGGCAACGAUGCAUAGCCGACAUGAGAGGGUGAUCGGCCACACUGGGACUGAGACACGGCCCAGACGCCUACGGGAGGAAGCAGUAGGGAAUCUUCGGCAAUGGACGAAAGUCUGACCGAGCAACGCCGCGUGAGUGAAGAAGGUUUUCGGAUCGUAAAACUCUGUUGUUAGAGAAGAACAAGGAUGAGAGUAAAAUGUUCAUCCCUUGACGGUAUCUAACCAGAAAGCCACGGCUAACUACGUGCCAGCCGCCGCCGUAA